UACGUAGGGGGCAAGCGUUGUCCGGAAUCAUUGGGCGUAAAGAGCGUGUAGGCGGCCCGAUAAGUCCGCUGUGAAAGUCCAGGGCUCAACCCUGGGACUGCCGGUGGAUACUGUCGGGCUCGAGUCGGAAGAGGAGUGUGGAAUUCCUGGUGUAGCGGUGAAAUGCGCAGAUAUCAGGGAGGAACACCAAUGGCGAAGGCAGCACUCUGGGACGUGACUGACGCUGAGACGCGAAAGCGUGGGGAGCAAACAGG
rnacentral:rRNA from 1 species